ACGGGAGGCAGCAGUGGGGAAUAUUGCACAAUGGGCGAAAGCCUGAUGCAGCGACGCCGCGUGAGGGAUGACGGCCUUCGGGUUGUAAACCUCUUUCAGCAGGGACGAAGCGCAAGUGACUGUACCUGCAGAAGAAGCACCGGCUAACUACGUGCCAGCAGCCGCGGUAAUACGUAGGGUGCGAGCGUUGUCCGGAAUUACUGGGCGUAAAGAGUUCGUAGGCGGUUUGUCGCGUCGUGUGUGAAAUCCCGCAGCUCAACUGCGGGCUUGCAGGCGAUACGGGCAGACUUGAGUACUGCAGGGGAGACUGGAAUUCCUGGUGUAGCGGUGAAAUGCGCAGAUAUCAGGAGGAACACCGGUGGCGAAGGCGGGUCUCUGGGCAGUAACUGACGCUGAGGAACGAAAGCGUGGGUAGCGAACAGGAUUAGAUACCCUGGUA
rnacentral:rRNA from 1 species